UCAACCCAGCGCUAACUGUUAGCGGCAGGCUAAAGCGACAUUCGACUGCGAUGUCCAUCAGCACUGUGGAACUACAGCAUCCAGCAGCCUAUUCGCCAAUAUGUAAUUUCCCUCUGCCACACGUGAUGUCUGUUUACAGCUUCCCAUGGCCGUGUUAAAAAGGUGCCACUGUUUCUUCCUUGAUGUCCAUCAAACGCAGCCACCUUGCAGUGACGCAGUCAGAAUGCCCGGGUGCGUUCCUCAUUCUGUGUCCAUGGCGCCUCUUCCAUAACUGGGCCAGACAAGCACUGCUGCGUUGAAGUUCCUUUUUGUGUUGGAAUACAAUAUUUGUGCAUUAUUUAUAUGAGUGAUGCUUUUCAGUGAGUGAGGGAGUGAAAGCGGAUGCUAUGGAAAUGUGGUGCAUAAAUGGAGAAAACCAAUGAAUUCGGCCUGAAAAACAGUGCAAAGACAGCAAGAGUGACAGUCAUCACAGCCAAAGCAGCAAAAGAAGAUUCAAGAACAAGCAAAGAAGAAACGAGAUAGUAUUCUGGGAAAAACCCGACCUACGUGUCUGUGUGCUGGCCGAUGCUAUUGAAGUGUAAGUAUGCGAACUGGUCUGGCAGCACUUCCGACUGAUGGGAAAUAUUUGCUUUUUUUAACAAGCCAUUUGCACACGUGCAAACCCUGCAGUCUUCCUUAUGAGUGCAAAUCCUGUGUAACAGGCCUGACCAAGUGCAAGAUGUAUGACAGGAAAUCUACAGUAAUUUACUGUUCCCACAAAGGCAUCCAAUAAUAAUCACAUUACAUAAUCAUACUACAUUUUAAAUAUAACAUCAGUUUAUGUUUCCCAUGCGAUGGCAGUGAUGUGAAAGCAGCCAUCCCACCUGGGGGGAAGGGGCUGUAAGGGCCACUGGAAUGCAGUGUCUGAAACAAGGUCCUGCUCUCUACCAUCUGGCUAUGGACUGACGGACAGGGGGUACAUUAGACAUGCAACAGCU